GUAGACGCUAUACUCUAAGAUUAACCCAUGCAUGUUUAUUGAAUAUAAAGAAAAGACGAACAGCUCAGUAACUCUUAUUUAAUUCGAUGUAUUAGGAUUCUAACUAUGUUAAAUUAUAGGUAACAAUAAUACAAUAAGAAUAAGAUCUAUCAGUUAGUUGUUAAGGUAAUGGCUUAACAAGACUAUGACGGAUAACGGUAUUACUUUGUAAUAUUCCGGAGAAGGAGCCUGAGAGAUUGCUACUAAGUCUAAGGAUUGCAGCAGGGGCGAAACUUGACCUAUGAUAUUAUAUUGAGGCAGUUAUGAGUAGUAUUUUAUAAUUAUUGUAGUAUUGUAAGUACAUAUUACAAGAUAAAUCGGAGGGCAAAUCGAGUGCCAGCAGCCGCGGUAAUACUUGUUCCGAUAGUGUGUAUGAUGAUUGAUGCAGUUAAAAAGUCUGUAGUUUAUUUUAUAAUAAGCAUUGUAAGGUAUACUGUAUGGUUAGGAGAGAGAUGAAAUGUGAUAACCCUAACUGGAUGAACAGAAGCGAAAGCUGUAUACUUAAAUGUAUUAUUAGAACAAGGACGUAAGCUAGAGGAUCGAAGAUGAUUAGAUACCACUGUAGUUCUAGCAGUAAACUAUGUUGAAUCAUAGAUAUAUUUUGAUAUAUAUUUAUGUAGAGAAAUUAAGAUUAUAUUGACUCUGGGGAUAGUAUGAUCGCAAGAUUGAAAAUUAAAGAAAUUGACGGAAGAAUACCACAAGGAGUGGAUUGUGCGGCUUAAUUUGACUCAACGCGGGGUAAUUUACCAGGUAUAACAUGAUAUAAUAUUUUAUCAUGAUAGUGGUGCAUGGCCGUUUCCAAUGGAUGCUGUGAAGUAAUGAUUAAUUUCAACAAGAUGUGAGACCCUCAUUUAGACAGAUGUAGUGAUACAUAUGAAGGAGAGGAUUAAAACAGGUCCGUUAUGCCCUAAGAUAAUCUGGGUUGCACGCGCAAUACAAUAAUAUUUGAUAUUGUAAGGGAUAAUAUAAUGUAAGAUAUAUUUGAACAUGGAAUUGCUAGUAAAUUUUAUUUAAUAAGUAGAAUUGAAUGAGUCCCUGUUCUUUGUACACACCGCCCGUCGCUAUCUAAGAUGGUAUUAUCUAUGAACAAAUUUAUAAAGUGAAUAGAUAGUACUAGAUCUGAUAU
rnacentral:rRNA from 1 species